GCCAACGUGCCUUACAUUUACUUUGACUUGUAUUUCAUUGCACAUUGUAUGAACCAAAGCUAUUUCAUGCUUUGUGUGGCCAACUUCAUUUCAUAUGUUAAUAUACAUCAGUUCCUAUUGUUUCACAGAUCAUGU